rnacentral:rRNA from 1 species
AAAUGAAUAGACGGGGGCCCGCACAAGCGGUGGAGCAUGUGGUUUAAUUCGAUGCAACGCGAAGAACCUUACCAAGGCUUGACAUGGAAAUGACCACUUCAGAGAUGAGGUUUCCCCUUUUGGGGCAUUUCACACAGGUGGUGCAUGGUUGUCGUCAGCUCGUGUCGUGAGAUGUUGGGUUAAGUCCCGCAACGAGCGCAACCCCUACGUUCAGUUGCCAGCGGGUAAAGCCGGGUACACUGGAGGGACUGCCGUGGAUAACACGGAGGAAGGUGGGGAUGAUGUCAAAUCAUCAUGCCCCUUAUGUCUUGGGCUACACACGUGCUACAAUGGUCUUUAAACAAAGUGAAGCAAAGCGGUGACGCGGAGCUAAUCACGAAACAGGACCCCAGUUCGGAUUGCAGGCUGCAACCCGCCUGCAUGAAGUUGGAAUCGCUAGUAAUCGCGAAUCAUCAUGUCGCGGUGAAUACGUUCCCGGGCCUUGUACACACCGCCCGU